rnacentral:rRNA from 1 species
GGGGGGUGGAGGAUAUUGGGCCUAAAGCAUCCGUAGCCGGUUCUGUAAGUUUCCGGUUAAAUCCACUAGCUCAACUAAUGGGCUGCCGGAAAUACUGCAGAACUAGGGAGUGGGAGAGGUAGACGGUACUCGGGAGGAAGGGGUAAAAUCCUUUGAUCUCUUGAUGACCACCUGUGGCGAAGGCGGUCUACCAGAACACGUUCGACGGUGAGGGAUGAAAGCUGGGGGAGCAAACCGGAUUAGAUACCCGGGUAGUCCCAGCUGUAAACGAUGCAGACUCGGUGAUGCACUGGCUUUUGGCCAGUGCAGUGCCGCAGGGAAGCCGUUAAGUUUGCCGCCUGGGAAGUACGUACGCAAGUAUGAAACUUAAAGGAAUUGGCGGGGGAGCAC